GACAGAGGUGCCGAGCGUUAGGCGGAAUCACUGGGCUUAAAGCGUGUGUAGGCGGGCCGUUAAGUGUCUUGUGAAAUCCCCCCGGCUCAACCGGGGAAUUGCUGGGCAUACUGGCGGUCUUGAGCGAUCUAGGGGCAGAUGGAACAAGUGGUGGAGCGGUGAAAUGCGUAGAUAUCACUUGGAACGCCAAAGGUGAAGACAGUCUGCUGGGGAUCUGCUGACGCUGAGACACGAAAGCCAGGGGAGCGAACGGG
rnacentral:rRNA from 1 species